UACGUAGGCAGCAAGCGUUGUUCGGAGUUACUGGGCGUAAAGGGUGUGUAGGCGGUCUACUAAGUCUGGUGUGAAAUCUCCCGGCUCAACUGGGAGGGUGCGCCGGAAACUGGAAGGCUAGAGUGCGGGAUGGGAGAGUGGAAUUCCUGGUGUAGCGGUGAAAUGCGCAGAUAUCAGGAGGAACACCGGUGGCGAAGGCGGUUCUCUGGGCAUUACCUGACGCUGAGGAGCGAAAGUGUGGGGAGCAAACAGG
rnacentral:rRNA from 1 species